AUGCUCACUUCAGCAGCACAUAUACUAAAAUUGGAAUGAUACAAAGAAGAUUAGCAUGGCCCCUGUGCAAGGAUGACAUGCAAAUUCAUGAAGUGUUCCAUAUUUUU
rnacentral:snRNA from 1 species